rnacentral:hammerhead_ribozyme from 1 species
AUUCAGCUGAUGAGUCUUAAAUAUGACUAAACGCACGUCCUGGAU